UAAGGGUGAAAUCAGUUAUGAUAUUUCAUUUACAGUGAAAUUAGGUAUUAGUUUUUAUACCACUCUUAU
rnacentral:tRNA from 1 species